GGUUAAGCGACUAAGCGUACACGGUGGAUGCCCUGGCAGUCAGAGGCGAUGAAGGACGUGCUAAUCUGCGAUAAGCGUCGGUAAGGUGAUAUGAACCGUUAUAACCGGCGAUUUCCGAAUGGGGAAACCCAGUGUGUUUCGACACACUAUCAUUAACUGAAUCCAUAGGUUAAUGAGGCGAACCGGGGGAACUGAAACAUCUAAGUACCCCGAGGAAAAGAAAUCAACCGAGAUUCCCCCAGUAGCGGCGAGCGAACGGGGAGCAGCCCAGAGCCUGAAUCAGUGUGUGUGUUAGUGGAAGCGUCUGGAAAGGCGCGCGAUACAGGGUGACAGCCCCGUACACAAAAAUGCACAUGCUGUGAGCUCGAUGAGUAGGGCGGGACACGUGGUAUCCUGUCUGAAUAUGGGGGGACCAUCCUCCAAGGCUAAAUACUCCUGACUGACCGAUAGUGAACCAGUACCGUGAGGGAAAGGCGAAAAGAACCCCGGCGAGGGGAGUGAAAAAGAACCUGAAACCGUGUACGUACAAGCAGUGGGAGCACGCUUAGGCGUGUGACUGCGUACCUUUUGUAUAAUGGGUCAGCGACUUAUAUUCUGUAGCAAGGUUAACCGAAUAGGGGAGCCGAAGGGAAACCGAGUCUUAACUGGGCGUUAAGUUGCAGGGUAUAGACCCGAAACCCGGUGAUCUAGCCAUGGGCAGGUUGAAGGUUGGGUAACACUAACUGGAGGACCGAACCGACUAAUGUUGAAAAAUUAGCGGAUGACUUGUGGCUGGGGGUGAAAGGCCAAUCAAACCGGGAGAUAGCUGGUUCUCCCCGAAAGCUAUUUAGGUAGCGCCUCGUGAAUUCAUCUCCGGGGGUAGAGCACUGUUUCGGCAAGGGGGUCAUCCCGACUUACCAACCCGAUGCAAACUGCGAAUACCGGAGAAUGUUAUCACGGGAGACACACGGCGGGUGCUAACGUCCGUCGUGAAGAGGGAAACAACCCAGACCGCCAGCUAAGGUCCCAAAGUCAUGGUUAAGUGGGAAACGAUGUGGGAAGGCCCAGACAGCCAGGAUGUUGGCUUAGAAGCAGCCAUCAUUUAAAGAAAGCGUAAUAGCUCACUGGUCGAGUCGGCCUGCGCGGAAGAUGUAACGGGGCUAAACCAUGCACCGAAGCUGCGGCAGCGACGCUUAUGCGUUGUUGGGUAGGGGAGCGUUCUGUAAGCCUGUGAAGGUGUGCUGUGAGGCAUGCUGGAGGUAUCAGAAGUGCGAAUGCUGACAUAAGUAACGAUAAAGCGGGUGAAAAGCCCGCUCGCCGGAAGACCAAGGGUUCCUGUCCAACGUUAAUCGGGGCAGGGUGAGUCGACCCCUAAGGCGAGGCCGAAAGGCGUAGUCGAUGGGAAACAGGUUAAUAUUCCUGUACUUGGUGUUACUGCGAAGGGGGGACGGAGAAGGCUAUGUUGGCCGGGCGACGGUUGUCCCGGUUUAAGCGUGUAGGCUGGUUUUCCAGGCAAAUCCGGAAAAUCAAGGCUGAGGCGUGAUGACGAGGCACUACGGUGCUGAAGCAACAAAUGCCCUGCUUCCAGGAAAAGCCUCUAAGCAUCAGGUAACAUCAAAUCGUACCCCAAACCGACACAGGUGGUCAGGUAGAGAAUACCAAGGCGCUUGAGAGAACUCGGGUGAAGGAACUAGGCAAAAUGGUGCCGUAACUUCGGGAGAAGGCACGCUGAUAUGUAGGUGAAGCGACUUGCUCGUGGAGCUGAAAUCAGUCGAAGAUACCAGCUGGCUGCAACUGUUUAUUAAAAACACAGCACUGUGCAAACACGAAAGUGGACGUAUACGGUGUGACGCCUGCCCGGUGCCGGAAGGUUAAUUGAUGGGGUCAGCGCAAGCGAAGCUCUUGAUCGAAGCCCCGGUAAACGGCGGCCGUAACUAUAACGGUCCUAAGGUAGCGAAAUUCCUUGUCGGGUAAGUUCCGACCUGCACGAAUGGCGUAAUGAUGGCCAGGCUGUCUCCACCCGAGACUCAGUGAAAUUGAACUCGCUGUGAAGAUGCAGUGUACCCGCGGCAAGACGGAAAGACCCCGUGAACCUUUACUAUAGCUUGACACUGAACAUUGAGCCUUGAUGUGUAGGAUAGGUGGGAGGCUUAGAAGUGUGGACGCCAGUCUGCAUGGAGCCGACCUUGAAAUACCACCCUUUAAUGUUUGAUGUUCUAACGUUGACCCGUAAUCCGGGUUGCGGACAGUGUCUGGUGGGUAGUUUGACUGGGGCGGUCUCCUCCUAAAGAGUAACGGAGGAGCACGAAGGUUGGCUAAUCCUGGUCGGACAUCAGGAGGUUAGUGCAAUGGCAUAAGCCAGCUUGACUGCGAGCGUGACGGCGCGAGCAGGUGCGAAAGCAGGUCAUAGUGAUCCGGUGGUUCUGAAUGGAAGGGCCAUCGCUCAACGGAUAAAAGGUACUCCGGGGAUAACAGGCUGAUACCGCCCAAGAGUUCAUAUCGACGGCGGUGUUUGGCACCUCGAUGUCGGCUCAUCACAUCCUGGGGCUGAAGUAGGUCCCAAGGGUAUGGCUGUUCGCCAUUUAAAGUGGUACGCGAGCUGGGUUUAGAACGUCGUGAGACAGUUCGGUCCCUAUCUGCCGUGGGCGCUGGAGAACUGAGGGGGGCUGCUCCUAGUACGAGAGGACCGGAGUGGACGCAUCACUGGUGUUCGGGUUGUCAUGCCAAUGGCACUGCCCGGUAGCUAAAUGCGGAAGAGAUAAGUGCUGAAAGCAUCUAAGCACGAAACUUGCCCCGAGAUGAGUUCUCCCUGACUCCUUGAGAGUCCUGAAGGAACGUUGAAGACGACGACGUUGAUAGGCCGGGUGUGUAAGCGCAGCGAUGCGUUGAGCUAACCGGUACUAAUGAACCGUGAGGCUUAACCUU
rnacentral:rRNA from 2 species